ensembl:lncRNA
ACUCUGUUGGAUGCAGCUUGGUUUUGGUCUUGUCCGAGGAUAUAUGUCAUGCAGACGGGAGCAGACGGGGAUGGAACCUAAACCUUCUGUUUAAUGUCCUCUAAAUCACUGUGGUCAGUUGUGCUGUACAGACUAUGCAUGCAUGUACCUGUGUUAAAAAUACUCUGUAUACUCUGCUGACUGCUUCAGUAUGAAAAGCAGUGAUGGAUGUUCCAACAAGAUCAUCUUCUGUGUUUUUGUUCCUCCUGCGAGUCACGUACAAUGUUUGUGUCACGAUCCUGGGUCUUAGGACCCAGUGUUUUGAGUUCUAGUUCAUUUUGAUGUUUAUAGUAUGUUUAGCUCAUUAGGCCUCCUAUGUUGAUUUGCUUAUUAGUUCCCCCUUGUGUUUCAACCCAUGUUAAGUCUCCCCUGCCCUUCAUGUCUCUCUGUGCCCCCUCUGUUCUGUUUAUGGUGUGUCUUUGCAUGUUUGAGUUUCUUGUUUUCUGUCACCCUG